rnacentral:tRNA from 1 species
AGGAUAAUAGUUAAAUAACUAACACUUGAAUUGCAAUCAAAAAUUAUUAAUAUCAUUAAUUUAUCUUA